rnacentral:rRNA from 1 species
ACGCUGAGGUACGAAAGCGUGGGGAGCGAACAGGAUUAGAUACCCUGGUAGUCCACGCUGUAAACGAUGAUCACUCGUUGUCUGCGAUAUAUGUAGGCGACUGAGCGAAAGCAUUAAGUGAUCCACCUGGGGAGUACGUUCGCAAGAAUGAAACUCAAAGGAAUUGACGGGGGCCCGCACAAGCGGAGGAUCAUGUGGUUUAAUUCGAUGAUACGCGAGGAACCUUACCUGGGUUUAAAUGUAGAUUGCAUGAUCGGGAAACUGAUCUUUUCUUCGGGACUAUUUACAAGGUGCUGCAUGGUUGUCGUCAGCUCGUGCCGUGAGGUGUCGGGUUAAGUCCCAUAACGAGCGCAACCCCUAUCGUUAGUUGCCAUCAGGUCAUGCUGGGGACUCUAACGAGACUGCCGGUGUAAACCGUGAGGAAGGUGGGGAUGACGUCAAAUCAGCACGGCCCUUAUAUCCAGGGCUACACACGUGUUACAAUGGUCGAUACAAAGAGCAGCCACUUGGUGACAAGGAGCUAAUCUCUAAAGUCGAUCACAGUUCGGAUCGAAGUCUACAACUCGAAUUCGUGAAGUUGGAUUCGCUAGUAAUCGCGCAUCAGCCACGGCGCGGUGAAUACGUUCCCGGGCCUUGUACACACCGCCCGUCAAGCCAUGGAAGCUGGGGGUGCCUGAAGUCUGUAACCGUAAGA